UACAGAGACCUCGAGCGUUAUCCGGAAUUAUUGGGCGUAAAGGGUCCGCAGGCGGCCCGUUAAGUCAUGUGUCAAAUCUUUGGGCUCAACCCAGAGGCUGCGCGUGAUACUAUCAGGCUAGAGACUGGGAGAGGCAUAUGGAAUUGCCGGUGUAGCGGUAAAAUGCGUUAAUAUCGGCAAGAACACCAAAGGCGAAGGCAAUAUGCUGGAACAGUUCUGACGCUCAGGGACGAAAGCGUGGGGAGCGAAUGGG
rnacentral:rRNA from 1 species